rnacentral:lncRNA from 1 species
GCGGGGCCAGGUGAGAUGCCUGCUCAGCAUGGCCUUUGCUGACCCUUCAGGAGCUGGUGGCCCGUCACCGUGUCUUGCACUGGGAUGAAGUGUCUGGGUCGCUGGAUGCAGGGGACCUGGGAGAGGUGGCUCUCCCCAGAAGGGCUGACAUCUCCCCAGCAGCCAGGGUGACAGGCCUUUCCUUGAAGGGGACCUGGGGCUGUAUCCGGUGGCCGUCAGGGUGGGUCGGCCCCAGCAGGAGCUCUGGCCUGAUGGUCUGACAUGUUGUUAGACACCCACUAGUGAGAUGCACCGGGUCGGUGGCAUGAGUCUUGAGUUUAGGGCACGAGUCUGGGACUGGAUAUAAGCUGUGACUCACCAGCCUAGAGAUGGGUUGAAACCCAGGAACCAGGGAGACCACAUGGGGGCCAGGAGAGUGCCCAGCUGCGGUCUGAGGACAGUUUUUGAGCUGCUACACAACUUGGAGGUUGGGCAGAAGAGAGUGCAGAGAUAGAGAAAGAGCGUCCAGGGGAGGAUGAG